AGCCCUUGACAUGUCCCGUAUGAGAUCCAUCUCUGGUUCUCAUACGGGACAUGUCAAGGGCUGGUAAGGUUCUUCGCGUUGCUUCGAAUUGAACCACAUGCUCCACCGCUUGUGCGGGCCCCCGUCAAUUCCUUUGAGUUUUAAUCUUGCGACCGUACUCCCCAGGCGGGAUGCUUAAUGCGUUAGCUGCGCCACUGACAGGCAAGCCUGCCAACGGCUAGCAUCCAUCGUUUACGGCGUGGACUAC
rnacentral:misc_RNA from 1 species